rnacentral:rRNA from 1 species
UACGGGGGGAGCAAGCGUUGUUCGGAUUUACUGGGCGUAAAGGGCGCGUAGGCGGUCGUGACAAGUCACUUGUGAAAUCUCCGGGCUUAACUCGGAACGGUCAAGUGAUACUGUCGGACUAGAGUACAGAAGGGGCAACUGGAAUUCUCGGUGUAGCGGUGAAAUGCGUAGAUAUCGAGAGGAACACCUGCGGCGAAGGCGGGUUGCUGGGCUGAUACUGACGCUGAAGCGCGAAAGCUAGGGGAGCAAACGGG